rnacentral:rRNA from 1 species
CCUACGGGUGGCUGCAGUGGGGAAUAUUGCACAAUGGGGGAAACCCUGAUGCAGCGACGCCGCGUGAAGGAAGAAGUAUUUCGGGAUGUAAAAUUCUAUCAGCAGGGAAGAAAAGGACGGUACCUGACUAAGAAGCCCCGGCUAACUACGUGCAAGCAGCCGCGGUAAUACGGAGGGGGCAAGCGUUAGCCGGAUUUACUGGGGGUAAAGGGAGCGUAGGCGGGGCAGCAAGUCAGAAGUGAAAGCCCGGGGCUCAACUCCGGGACUGCUUUUGAAACGGUUGAACUCGAUUGCAGGAGAGGUAAGUGGAAUUCCUAGUGUAGCGGUGAAAUGCGUAGAUAUUAGGAGGAACACCAGUGGCGAAGGCGGCUUACUGGACUGUAAAUGACGCUGAGGCUCGAAAGCGUGGGGAGCAAACAGGAUUAGAUACCCCAGUAGUC